UUAUGGCUCAGACGAACGCUGCGGCAGGCUUAGGCAUGCAAGUCGAACGGAUGAUAGAAGAGCUUGCUCUCUAAAGUCAGUGGCGCACGAGUGAGUAACGCGUGGGAAACUGCCCUUCACUGGGGAAUAACGUUUGGAAACGAACGCUAAUACCGCAUACGCCCGCAAGGGGAAAGAUUUAUCGGUGAUGGAUGUGCCCGCGUUGGAUUAGCUAGUUGGUGGGGUAAUGGCCUACCAAGGCGAUGAUCCAUAGCUGGUCUGAGAGGACGAUCAGCCACGCUGGAACUGAGACACGGUCCAGACUCCUACGGGAGGCAGCAGCUAAGAAUAUUGGGCAAUGGAGGAAACUCUGACCCAGCCCAUGCCGCGUGAAUGAAGAAGGCCUUCGGGUUGUAAAGUUCUUUUAGUCAUGAAGAUGAUGACAGUAGUGACAGAAAAAGCACCGGCUAACUUCGUGCCAGCCGCUGC
rnacentral:rRNA from 1 species